rnacentral:other from 1 species
AAUGUCCUGGAAGGUACGUGAUAGUGAGAGUAUAUUUUGAGCCAACACCCACCUCUUGGGAGCCAUUGUGUAUUUCUGGUGUGCAUGCCUCUGUUAAAAGAGGAAGCCUAAAGGAAAUACUUUGGCGCCCACCUAUACAAAAGAGGUUCAAAAUGCCUCGCUACACGGCCUUCCGGGGUUUUA